rnacentral:rRNA from 1 species
CGUCGCCGCGGGAAUACGAAGGGGGCUAGCGUUGCUCGGAUUUACUGGGCGUAAAGCGCACGUAGGCGGAUCGAUCAGUCAGGGGUGAAAUCCCAGAGCUCAACUCUGGAACUGCCUUUGAUACUGUCGAUCUGGAGUAUGGAAGAGGUGAGUGGAAUUCCGAGUGUAGAGGUGAAAUUCGUAGAUAUUCGGAGGAACACCAGUGGCGAAGGCGGCUCACUGGUCCAUUACUGACGCUGAGGUGCGAAAGCGUGGGGGGCAAACAGGAUUAGAUACCCCCGUAGUCCCUGUCUCUUAUACA